CGUGUAGGCGGUUGGUCAAGUCUGGUGUGAAAGCCCGGGGCUUAGCCCCGGAAGUGCGCUGGAAACUAGCCAACUUGAGCGCGAUAGAGGAGGGUGGAAUUCCUGGUGUAGCGGUGAAAUGCGUGGAUAUCAGGAGGAACACCGGCGGCGAAGGCGGCCCUCUGGAUCGUUGCUGACGCUGAGACGCGAAAGCGUGGGGAGCAAACAGGAUUAGAUACCCUGGUAGUCCACGCUGUAAACUAUGGGUACUAGGUGUUCGGGGUGUUGACCCCCUGAGUGCCGACGCUAACGCAUUAAGUACCCCGCCUGGGGACUACGGCCGCAAGGCUAAA
rnacentral:rRNA from 1 species